GAUGAACGCUGGCGGCGUGCUUAACACAUGCAAGUCGAACGAUGAAGCCCAGCUUGCUGGGUGGAUUAGUGGCGAACGGGUGAGUAACACGUGAGUAACCUGCCCUUAACUCUGGGAUAAGCCUGGGAAACUAGGUCUAAUACCGGAUAGGAGCGCCUACCGCAUGGUGGGUGUUGGAAAGAUUUAUCGGUUUUGGAUGGACUCGCGGCCUAUCAGCUUGUUGGUGAGGUAAUGGCUCACCAAGGCGACGACGGGUAGCCGGCCUGAGAGGGUGACCGGCCACACUGGGACUGAGACACGGCCCAGACUCCUACGGGAGGCAGCAGUGGGGAAUAUUGCACAAUGGGCGAAAGCCUGAUGCAGCGACGCCGCGUGAGGGAUGACGGCCUUCGGGUUGUAAACCUCUUUCAGUAGGGAAGAAGCGAAAGUGACG
rnacentral:rRNA from 1 species